ensembl:antisense Gm29261 predicted gene 29261
CGCGAGGAACACGAUGAACAGGAUCAGCUUGCGCGAGUGGCGGCUGUCCCGCAGCCAUCGCAGCAGCACCAGAUCGCUCAGGGCCAUAGCUUUGCUUCGCUGUGGGAGCAGUAGACACACACACACACACACACACACACACACACACACACACACACACGCAGGAGUGCUUUCUGAGGCCCUUCGAUAGGGUCAGAGGGGUCAGAGCUGUGUUCUUAGCCACUUAACAUCCCUGUUACUGUCGCAGGCUCUCAGCAGAGGGGUCUGGCCUUGUUUUAUUAAUGCUCGCCUGUUGUCAGCAGGAGCCUGCUAGGAGCAGCCUUGUGGUGUGUGCUCCUCCCAGCUCUCUCUGAUUCUCUUCUCUUUAGAGAGAGACCCCCUGCGCUUCCCACCGUUACCCUCCCCCCAUGAUAAAAGAUGUGUGGAUGGGAAAAGUAGGUCAGUGACACGGGUCUCUGAUAUCUCAGAAUGUGUGUAACUUAAAUAUUAAACAGGGAGGGAGAGGGACCCACUCAGGAGGAGAAAGCAGAUGGCAGAAAACUAAGGUGGCUGUGGAGAGAUGGAAUUCAUGGGCUGGCGCCCUAGCCCCUUGGCUUUGGAGUUUCCGAACCCAAAGGCUCUGACUUGAGCCACAGAAUCAGUGAUUUAUGACAUGUAAGCACUCUUGCCAGAUGCAGGAACC